rnacentral:rRNA from 1 species
AGGACGAACGCUGGCGGCGUGCUUAACACAUGCAAGUCGAGCGGUAAGGCCUUUCGGGGUACACGAGCGGCGAACGGGUGAGUAACACGUGGGUGAUCUGCCCUGCACUUCGGGAUAAGCCUGGGAAACUGGGUCUAAUACCGGAUAUGACUUCAGGUUGUAUGACUUGGGGUGGAAAGAUUUAUCGGUGCAGGAUGGGCCCGCGGCCUAUCAGCUUGUUGGUGGGGUAAUGGCCUACCAAGGCGACGACGGGUAGCCGACCUGAGAGGGUGACCGGCCACACUGGGACUGAGACACGGCCCAGACUCCUACGGAGGCAGCAGUGGGGAAUAUUGCACAAUGGGCGAAAGCCUGAUGCAGCGACGCCGCGUGAGGGAUGAAGGCCUUCGGUUGUAAACCGUACUUUCAGCAGGACGAAGCGCAAGUGACGGUACUCGCAGAAGAAGCAACCGGCUAAACUACGUCGCCAGCAGCCGAC